GGCCUGUCUUUUGAAUCUCAUCCCUAUCCUCUCCCUGCUGUGUCCAAGGAUCCUUGUCCUCACCUGGCUUCUGACUUCCCAUCCUUGUUGUUGACAGUCAGGGGCAGCAGAUAUGAAGCUCAGUUCUAGGUCCAUGGCAAGCCAAGACUAAGUGGCUGUGGUUCCUGUCGUUAGCAUGGGCUGGCAGCAGGGCUGAGAAAGGCACACUUGCCCUUUUAUGGCCUGACUGGUUCCUGAGCAUCUUCCCAGGACCAUCCACCUCCCCAGGCUCUAGAAGACUAUUGGAGACUCCCUUCUGGAGUGCAGAUGCCAUGGUCAUCUCCUGAGAUUCACACCCUGUCCCCUGGACUGCAGAAUUCCUGCUCCUCAGUAAGCUCGAGAGAUGUUUGAAGUUGGUGACUGUCCGCUGUCCCCCUAUGCCGACUCUUCUGUUCCCUUCCUGUGGCCAUAUUCCCUCACUUCCCACUCCUGUGGGGCCCUUGGUCUGAUGGUGUUUUGGGGAAGGGGACAAACAGAUUAAAGACAAGUACCAACAGGAACCAAAAGGCUUCCUGUCUACUCAAGCCACUCCAGAGUCCAGGUCUCUCCCUUUGCCUGCC
rnacentral:lncRNA from 1 species